GGUAGCAAUAAUAUUAAAAGCUUUAGUCAGAGAUCAAACAUACAUAAUGUGUUCAUGCACUAUUCCAGUGCAGUGAAACAAACUCAUCUGGACCAUUUUGGACUAGGUUUAUAUUUACACUGCAAUAUAACACGAGUAAACGAAAAAAUAGUUGGCCAAAAAAAAGUGGUCGAUUGGCCAUAUGAAGAUCUACAAAUAUAUAGGGACAAACAUUUACGAAAUGAAAACAGAAGACAUGUAUGAUGAGAUUGAGAUUGCUACUUUGUUUCUGCAAGAAAAUGCUCACUCAUCAAUAUCACCAUUAUUAAUCCUUAUCUCUAAGAGUUCUUCAAAUGGUUGUCGACAAAUUGGGCAUCGGUUUGACUGAAGUCUCAAUGUGUUUGCACAUCCACUGCACAUGCACAUAUGGCGGCAUGGAAGAACUGCAGUAUCUUUGGGUUCCGUCAUGCAUAUUACACACUCCUUGCCUGAGCCAUUGUUCUCAUAAUCUGGGCCAGAGUUUCCAAUUCCAUAUAUCUCAUGCAGCUCAUAGCGAACAUUAUCAACCCAUAAAAUCUGCCUGAUUAUUCUCACUUUGAAAGUCCCUUCAUGAUCCUUCUCCAAUACAGCUUGACUAAUUUGCAUAUGGAGGGACGUUUUAGGUUGAGUAUCACUAAUAUGAUCCUCUGUUAAAACAGAUGGAAGGCAGGUUGUAGCAGUUAUUACAAGGGGAAACACACUGUCUUCUGAUGAUAGUUCGGAGAGAUCGUCCAUUUCAAAGAAACUCAAGUCAAUGCCUGUCCCAAAAGGCUGACGAAAUUUCUGUCCAAGUCCUCUCUGGAAAGGAACUGUUAUAGGUACAUGGACAUGGGGGUAUAUUGGAACAAAUCUGCAAUGAGGCUCUUCCUUGACAAAAUAAAACACUGUGAUGUUUCCAUCAAAGAGAGCAUCAAAGACAAAAGAAACCAAAUAAUGAUCUGGGUUUUGCUCAUCAAUCUCAAGCUUUAACGAAUCUUUAUGAACAUUAACACCACUCUUAACUUUCUUAGCUUGUUGGGUCUCAACAUAAGGUGAUGGGGUCACCAUCCCCACUACCUGAUGAUGAGGAGGAGGAGGUAGGUAAGAAGCAGACCAAUCAUUGUUCUGAUAUGGAGUAAAAACAGA
rnacentral:misc_RNA from 1 species